rnacentral:rRNA from 1 species
AUUGAACGCUGGCGGCAGGCCUAACACAUGCAAGUCGAGCGGAGCGGCGGACGGGUGAGUAAUGGCUGGGAAUCUGCCUGGAAGUGGGGGAUAACGUCCUGAGACGGGCGCUAAUACCGCAUACUAUCAGAUGAGCCGAGGUCGGAUUAGCUAGUUGGUGGGGAAAAGGCCUACCAGGGCCACGAUCCCUAACUGGUCUGAGAGGAUGAUCAGUCACACUGGAACUGAGAAACAGUACAGACUCCAACGUGAGGAAGCAGUGGCGAAUAUUGCACAAUGGGUGCAAGCCGGAUGCAGCCAUGCCGCGUGAGUGAAGAAGGCCGUCGGGUUGUAAAGCACUUUCAUCGGGGAGGCAUUACCCGCAGAAGAAGCACCGGCGAACUCCGUGCCAGCAGCCGCGGUAAUAC